AAAAUUAGAGUGUUCAAAGCAGGCAGAUCCAAUUUUCUGCCACCGAAUACAUUAGCAUGGGAUAAUGGAAUAGGACCCUGUCCUCCUAUUUUCAGUUGGUUUUGGCAGCGCGAGGACUAGGGUAAUGAUUAAUAGGGAUAGUUGGGGGCAUUAAUAUUUAAUUGUCAGAGGUGAAAUUCUUGGAUUUAUGAAAGAUUAACUUCUGCGAAAGCAUCUGCCAAGGAUGUUUUCAUUAAUCAAGAACGAAAGUUAGGGGAUCGAAGACGAUCAGAUACCGUCGUAGUCUUAACCAUAAACGAUGCCGACCAGCGAUUAGGAGACGUUGAAUACAAAACACCACCAUCGGCGCGGUCGUCCUUGGCGUUGGUCCUUCACGGGGCCGGCGCGAGGGCGGCUAGCCC
rnacentral:rRNA from 1 species